rnacentral:rRNA from 1 species
CACGUAUUUAGCCGGGGCUUCUUAGUCAGGUACCGUCAUUUUCUUCCCUGCUGAUAGAGCUUUACAUACCGAAAUACUUCUUCGCUCACGCGGCGUCGCUGCAUCAGGGUUUCCCCCAUUGUGCAAUAUUCCCCACUGCUGCCUCCCGUAGGAGUUUGGGCCCGUGUCUCAGUCCCAAUGUGGCCGUCCACCCUCUCAGGCCGGCUACUGAUCGUCGCCUUGGUGGGCCGUUACCCCGCCAACCAGCUAAUCAGACGCGGGCCCAUCCCACACCACCUCGGUUUUCCACACUGCUUCAUGCGAAGCUGUGCGCCUAUGCGGUAUUAGCAGUCGUUUCCAACUGUUGUCCCCCUGUGUGGGGUAGGUUGCCCACGCGUUACUCACCCGUCCGCCACUCAGUCAUAUAAAAUUCCUCUACCGAAAAAAUUCCUUUUAUAUGCUUCGUUCGACUUGCAUGUGUUAAGCACGCCGCCAGCUUC